UUUUUUUGUUAAAUAUAUAUAUUUGCAAGUUAAGUAGGGUCUGGCCUAGUUAGUACUUAGAUGGGAGACCACCUAAGAAGACCAGGUGCGGUAGGCA
rnacentral:rRNA from 1 species